CCUACGGGGGGCAGCAGUGGGGAAUAUUGCUCAAUGGGGGAAACCCUGAAGCAGCAACGCCGCGUGGAGGAUGACGGUUUUAUGAUUGUAAACUCCUUUUGUUAGGGAAGAUUAUGACGGUAUCUAACGAAUAAGCACCGGCUAACUCCGUGCCAGCAGCCGCGGUAAUACGGAGGGUGCAAGCGUUACUCGGAAUCACUGGGCGUAAAGGGUGCGUAGGCGGGGUAAUAAGUCAGAUGUGAAAUUCUGUAGCUUAACUGCAGAACUGCAUUUGAAACUGUUACUCUGGAGUGUAGGAGAGGUAGGUGGAAUUCGUGGUGUAGGGGUAAAAUCCGUAGAGAUCAAGAGGAACACCCAUUGCGAAGGCGACCUGCUGGAAUAUUACUGACGCUGAUGCUCGAAAGUGUGGGGAGCAAACAGGAUUAGAUACCCCUGUAGUC
rnacentral:rRNA from 1 species